UACGAAGGGGGCUAGCGUUGCUCGGAAUUACUGGGCGUAAAGCGCACGUAGGCGGACCGAUAAGUCGGGGGUGAAAUCCUGGAGCUCAACUCCAGAACUGCCUUCGAAACUGCCGGUCUUGAGUUCGGGAGAGGUGAGUGGAACUGCGAGUGUAGAGGUGAAAUUCGUAGAUAUUCGCAAGAACACCAGUGGCGAAGGCGGCUCACUGGCCCGAUACUGACGCUGAGGUGCGAAAGCGUGGGGAGCAAACAGGAUUAGAAACCCGGUAGUCC
rnacentral:rRNA from 1 species